rnacentral:rRNA from 1 species
GAUGAAGCCCAGCUUGCUGGGUGGAUUAGUGGCGAACGGGUGAGUAACACGUGAGUAACCUGCCCCUGACUUCGGGAUAACUCCGGGAAACCGGGGCUAAUACCGGAUAUGAGCCGCUUCCGCAUGGGGGUGGUUGGAAAGUUUUUCGGUCAGGGAUGGGCUCGCGGCCUAUCAGCUUGUUGGUGGGGUGAUGGCCUACCAAGGCGACGACGGGUAGCCGGCCUGAGAGGGCGACCGGCCACACUGGGACUGAGACACGGCCCAGACUCCUACGGGAGGCAGCAGUGGGGAAUAUUGCACAAUGGGCGCAAGCCUGAUGCAGCGACGCCGCGUGAGGGAUGACGGCCUUCGGGUUGUAAACCUCUUUCAGCAGGGAAGAAGCGCAAGUGACGGUACCUGCAGAAGAAGCGCCGGCUAACUACGUGCCAGCAGCCGCGGUAAUACGUAGGGCGCAAGCGUUGUCCGGAAUUAUUGGGCGUAAAGAGCUCGUAGGCGGUCUGUCGCGUCUGGUGUGAAAACUCGAGGCUCAACCUCGAGCUUGCAUCGGGUACGGGCAGACUAGAGUGCGGUAGGGGAGACUGGAAUUCCUGGUGUAGCGGUGGAAUGCGCAGAUAUCAGGAGGAACACCGAUGGCGAAGGCAGGUCUCUGGGCCGCAACUGACGCUGAGGAGCGAAAGCAUGGGGAGCGAACAGGAUUAGAUACCCUGGUAGUCCAUGCCGUAAACGUUGGGCACUAGGUGUGGGGCUCAUUCCACGAGUUCCGUGCCGCA